AUACGUAGGGGGCGAGCGUUGUCCGGAAUUAUUGGGCGUAAAGGGUUCGCAGGCGGCCUUUUAAGUCAGAUGUGAAAGCCCACGGCUUAACCGUGGUAAGCAUUUGAAACUGGAAGGCUUGAGUUAAGGAGAGGAAAGUGGAAUUCCUAGUGUAGCGGUGAAAUGCGUAGAUAUUAGGAGGAAUACCAGUGGCGAAGGCGACUUUCUGGACUUAAACUGACGCUGAGGAACGAAAGCGUGGGGAGCAAACAGGAUUAGAUGCCCUGGUAGUCCACGCCGUAAACGAUGAGUGCUAGGUGUUGGGGGUCAAACCUCGGUGCCGCAGCUAACGCAUUAAGCACUCCGCCUGGGGAGUACGUACGCAAGUAUGAAACUCAAAUGAAUUGACGGGG
rnacentral:rRNA from 1 species